UACGGGGGGAGCAAGCGUUGUUCGGAUUUACUGGGCGUAAAGGGCGCGUAGGCGGGCGCAACAAGUCACUUGUGAAAUCUCCGGGCUUAACCCGGAGCGGUCAAGUGAUACUGUUGUGCUAGAGUGCGGAAGGGGCUACUGGAAUUCUCGGUGUAGCGGUGAAAUGCGUAGAUAUCGAGAGGAACACCUGCGGCGAAGGCGACUACCUGGCCUGUUCUUGACGGCUGAGGCGCGAAAGCCAGGGGAGCAAACGGG
rnacentral:rRNA from 1 species